UAACUGCACUGCCCAUCCACACGCUCUCUCACACACACACAAUAUUUUAUUAUGACAGAACACAUCUAUUUACACAGACACUGACACACAGAUACACUCACUGACACUCAGGGCAUGACACGGUUGUCAUGGGCCUGGAGGGCCGGGCUGCUCAGGGGGUCCCGGGCCCCACAUUGCCUAUGUACGCUUAUAUAGCGAUCAUCACUAUAUACAUGUGUACCUGCGGGCCCCUGGCUUCCUGUAUACUGUGGGGGGCCCAGCACAGUCCAUCCUCACUUCUCUCUCUAAGUCUCGCAAGCCGCGCUGUUGUCAGAGCGUUGCUACC